rnacentral:tRNA from 1 species
AAAACUUUAAGUUAAUUAAACUACAGGUCUUCAAAACCUAUAAUGAGUUUUAUAUUCAAGUUUUA